CUACGGGGGGCUGCAGUGGGGAAUAUUGCACAAUGGGGGGAACCCUGAUGCAGCAACGCCGCGUGGAGAAUGAAGCAUUUCGGAGUGUGAACUCCUUUUAUAUGUCAAGAAAAUGACGGUAGCAUAUGAAUAAGCACCGGCUAACUCCGUGCCAGCAGCCGCGGUAAUACGGAGGGUGCAAGCGUUACUCGGAAUCACUGGGCGUAAAGGACGCGUAGGCGGGUUGGAAAGUCAGGUGUGAAAUCCUAAGCUUAACUGUAGAAAUGCACUUGAAACUUCUAAUCUAGAGUAUGGGAGGGGGAGAUGGAAUUAGUGGUGUAGGGGUAAAAUCCGUAGAUAACCACAGGAAUAUCCAAAGUGAUGGCGACGGCAGCGUCAGAUAUGGAUAAGAAGGAGCGUACGCGGGGGUCGAAACCAGGAUUAGAUACCCUUGUAGUC
rnacentral:rRNA from 1 species